CAUUGGUUUAAGACACUGUUGUCUCCUGGCCUCUUGUUCCUGCUGCUCUGCUGGCACAGCCACUCCUGUGGUUGGGAACCAGGUGGGAGGAGCCAUCCGGCUUGGGAAGGGGAAAAAAAGGUUUCAUGUGUUUGGUUUUUUUGUUUGUUUGUUUGUUUAAAGCAGGAAAGUUCCUCUGUCUGGUUCAGUGCCUGGUCACAGCGAGUUUUCCUGGCACAAGUGAGUGGAAAGAGCACUUUGGCAUGGAGAGGAAAUGAGCAGUGGAGGGUGAAAGGUGUCCUGGCAGGCACUUCCCAUCUGUGUCCUUAUCUCCCAGGCUCUUCAAAGGCUCCCCAGAUACCGUGUCCUGCAAGUUCAAAACCCUGCAGCCCACUGGGACUGGAAAUGUGUGAAGGAGCACAAGAAUUGGAGUUGAAUGACAGUGAUAAAUACAGAGCCGCCUGCCCCUGGGGGCCAUGCACUUCGUUCCUCCCCCCAGAGUGUGCAAAUAUUUGCAGCAGAGCAGCCUCUGAGCUCGGAGACGUGAGCAGCGACACGAGGAGGUGCAGCCCAGGGCAGGGGCAAGGCCAGAGGGUGUGAAACCAGCACACAGCCCCCGGGGUGGCUGCCUGGCUGUUACAAUUUAUCAUGAACGCAUCUCACUUCACUUCUGGCUCCUCUGACGGAAGGAACAGCCGGUCUCCAGGAGGUCAAAGACAUUAUUUUCCCCUAGUCUUUCUCAGUUUCCAGCGCAUAUUUGUCACUUUGAAAAAGCAUGAAUUCUGGAUUUGAUGCACUUUAAUUGAUUUCACCCUCAACAAGUCCAACUGUCCAUCAACCUUUCCUUUUUCUUUCCUCUCCCCCUUCUUCAUUUCUUUCCUCUGUCCCUUUGCCUUGAGAGUGAUGUUUUCACCCUCCUGCAUGUUGGAGCUGUUGCAAAGCCCAUGACCCUAUCUAGGCUUACUGUCACUAGCCAUUGCUCUCAUUUUCCUUAUCCUCCAAGCUGAACUUUGGAUGCUGAAUGAGAAUGUUGUAGGAGUACUGGUCUUGUAAUAUCUCAGUGAUGUUACCCUUGUCAAAGUAAAAGUGGUGGCUGACGGUCCCCUUAUUUUGAGACAACUCUGUAGAAUUGGAAAUGUGAGGGAAUUAAUUAAUUUUAUGCUGGCAUUUAUAUUUAAACAAUUUGCAGUGUUAUGGCAGAGAUGAAUGUGCUGUUUCUUCUUUCCCUCUGGAAAUAUGUGUAUCACAUAUGCAUAUAUCCAGGGUAGUGUGGUUGUAAAUUCGGUGUGUAAAGUGGCAUUUUCACCUCAGAAAUGGAGAUCAUAGACUCAUGGAACAUCCCGAGUUGCAAGGGGUCCAUAAGGACCAUCCCAAAAAUCCUGUGAGGUGCCAUGACACUCUUCUUUGGUGAAUUCAUCUGCCACGGAAUAAAUGUGGGUGUGUAACAACUUGUCCUUUGCACAAAAAUCCUUAGAGUAUGUCCUGCAAACCAGGGGCUGCUUAUAGUGGAAGCUGCAGGAGUCACAGGUGCUCCUCUGGGUGCUGCCAUCACAUCCUGGAUACUGUCAGGACAUGGGGCAGGGAACAGGUUUCUGUUUACAGCAGAGCAGAGAUUCCAAGUUCUCUGCCCUCUUAUGAGGUGUCCACCCGAGCUCCGCAGGGUUGUUCCUGGGGCUGUUGUGCGCUCUCUGAGGAGCUCCAGAGCUCGGGGCGGGCACACCUGGCUCACGACAUGUGAGUGUUUUUGUGUGAAUGUUUCCAAGCUGUGGCCAAGGAAUCCAAGCCCGUUCCGCCCUGUGCCCGGCGCCGGGCUCGGAGCGCGCCGGGAGCCGGGAGCUGCUGUCCAUGGUCCUG
rnacentral:lncRNA from 1 species